rnacentral:rRNA from 1 species
UAGGGAAUCUUCCGCAAUGGACGCAAGUCUGACGGAGCAACGCCGCGUGAGUGAAGAAGGAUUUCGGUUCGUAAAACUCUGUUGUUAGAGAAGAACAGCGCAUAGAGUAACUGUUAUGCGUGUGACGGUAUCUAACCAGAAAGCCACGGCUAACUACGUGCCAGCAGCCGCGGUAAUACGUAGGUGGCAAGCGUUGUCCGGAUUUAUUGGGCGUAAAGCGAGCGCAGGCGGUCAAUUAAGUCUGAUGUGAAAGCCCCCGGCUCAACCGGGGAGGGUCAUUGGAAACUGGUUGACUUGAGUGCAGAAGAGGAGAGUGGAAUUCCAUGUGUAGCGGUGAAAUGCGUAGAUAUAUGGAGGAACACCAGUGGCGAAGGCGACUAUCUGGUCUGUAACUGACGCUGAGGCUCGAAAGCGUGGGUAGCAAACAGG